rnacentral:rRNA from 1 species
GCAAGGAAUUUUGCACAAUCGACGCAAGUCGGAUGCAGCAACGCCGCGUGGGGGAAGAAGGGCUUCGGCUUGUAAACCCCUUUUGCGAGGGAAGAAGAUCUGACGGUACCUCGCGAAUAAGUCACGGCUAACUACGUGCCAGCAGCCGCGGUAAUACGUAGGUGGCAAACGUUGUCCGGAUUCACUGGGCGUAAAGCGCGCGCAGGCGGAUUGGUCAGUCUGGGGUGAAAUCUCUCGGCUCAACUGAGAGAGGUCCCUGGAUACUGCCAGUCUUGAGGGGCUCAGAGGAGAGUGGAAUUCCGCGUGUAGUGGUGGAAUGCGUAGAUACGCGGAGGAACACCAGUGGCGAAAGCGGCUCUCUGGGGGCCACCUGACGCUGAGGCGCGAAAGCGUGGGGAGCGAACCGGAUUAGAUACCCCUGUAGUCC